rnacentral:rRNA from 1 species
AACGUGGGUAACCUGCCCUGAUGAUCGGGACAACCCGAGGAAACUCGGGCUAAUACCGAAUGUGCCCUCCAGCUACAAGGCUGACGGGGAAAGGAAGCUUCGGCCUCCGCAUCGGGAUGGGCCCGCGGCCCAUUAGCUUGUUGGUGAGGUAAUGGCUCACCAAGGCGACGAUGGGUAGCUGGUCUGAGAGGACGAUCAGCCACACUGGGACUGAGACACGGCCCAG